rnacentral:lncRNA from 10 species
CCCGCCUCAGGACCUGACCCUUGGCUCUUCCUGUUUCUGGGGCCUGUCUUCCUCCAGACAGCACCUGGCGAGCCCCUCACUGCCUUCACGUCUUUGCUCACAUGCCACCUUCUCAUGGAAAACUGCCACCCUCGCUCUCACCCGGCACUGGAGAUUGCCCUCACCUGCCUACCAUUUUUCGUAACACACCGACCUUCGGACCUGUGAAACCCUCAUUUACCGCCUGUCUCCUCUAACCACAACGAAAGCUCCAUGGCAGGGGGACCGCUGUUUGCUGUGUUAUCAUCUCCUCAGUGCCCAGCUCUGAGCCAGGAAGUGCUUUGAUUCCUUUGCUGAACCACUUCUGCGGAAGGCUGCUGAGUGCGGCUGCAGUUCCCACAUGGCCCACGAUGGAGGAAUAUUUGCACUUAGGACAGUGUCUCCCACCUGGAGCUCCAGCAGGUCUGGGAUGGGGACUGCCAUCUGGCCGGGUGACAGCUGGUUACAGUUCACUAUGUGGAAUCGCUAGCACCAAGGUGGUUUCCUGGCAUCCUUUUUCUCAGGCCACAACUCCCCUCCUGCAUUUAUCAUCCUGAGUCUGUUUGCUCCAUGUCUUCACCCACCUGGCCUUCACUCAUCCGAAGGUGGCCUCACAGGCUGGCAGGGGCAGUCUGGGCAGUGGCUCAAAGGCCCCCUUGAUACCUGCAGUUUCCUGGGCGGAGACACAGGCUGCUGCUCUGGGUUGAGCUUCCCUGGGUUGAGUGAUGCCCCAUUUCCCAGGUCCCACCGGCCAGAGCAUCUGAAGCUCCCUGCUGAGUUUGGCUGUGCAGCAGUGGCUCUGUGUGUAAAUGCUGGGCACUGAGGAUACACAAAAAUCCCAAUAUGAUGUGUACAGGAUAAUGCCUCAUCCCAAUCACAUGUCCAUUUGUGAUUGUGUUUGUUAACAACCCUUUAUCUCUUAGUGUUAUAAACUCCACUUAAAACUGAUUAAAGUCUCAUUCUUGUCAAGAAAAAAAAAACAAACAAACAGAAAAAGCCCAUAGAAUUCCAAAUAGAAGUAAGAGAAAAUCUAUACUGCAACACAUUCGAGUGAAACUUAAGACCAUCAGAGAUAGAGAGAUGCCUAAAAGUCCCCAGAGAGCAGAGAACAUGACGAAGGAGCAAGACUUGGACAGAACCACACUUUCCAACAACCACAUGGACUGUAAGGCCACAGGGGAGGAAUAAUGGUUUUGAGUACCGAAGUGAACACUGAAAUUUUGAGUACUGAACUUUGCACCCUGAAUUUUACAUCCAGCCAACUGUCACCCAAGUGUGAGGGCAUGGCCAACACAUUCUCAACCACAGAAGGCCCUAGAAGUUGGCCACAUAAAGACCCACGUGGGAAACACUCAGGACCAGCACAUGGUUCAAGACAUGAGAAGAUCAAAGGGUGAUCAGAUUCCGAAGCGAAGACUGUUUCCCGCCUCCACCCCCAUCAAUUAGCUAAGAUCCAGAAGAGAAAGAGAGUGACAGGAUGGGGACUAGGUGGAGGGGAGAUCCUGGGACACGAGGGAGCAGUCAUGUGACCGAGGAACAUAUGGAUAACAUUUUUAUUUAUAAAAAGAAAGGAUUAACCAAGAAACCUAGAAAAGGCAGGGGACAAGCUGAAACCAUAAACUUGUCGGUAAAAAGGCAAAGACUGUUGAUUGGAUAGAAGCCAAAAUCCAGCUACAGGCUUUUUAGAAGAAAGACAACUAAGUCAUAAAUCAGAGGAAUGAAGAGGAAGGGGUGUGGAUGGGAUACAGCUGAAAUUUCUUGAAGCUGGAUGUGGGGUCCGUGCAUGGGAGUUCAUGACACUGUUCUGCUUGUGCAAACAUCUGAAUUUUUCCAUUAUAUAUAUAUAUUUUUUUUUUUUUUUGGAGACGGAGUCUUGCUCUUGUCGCCCAGGCUGGAGCGCAGUGGCGUGAUCUUGGCUCACUGCAACCUCUGCCUCCUGGGUUCAAGCACUUCUCCUGCCUCAGCCUCCUGAGUAGCUGGGACUACAGGUGCACGCCACCACGGCCCACUAAUUUUUAUAUUUUUAGUAGAGAUGGAGUUUCACCAUGUUGGCCAGGAUGGUCUCGAUCUCCUGAGCUCGUGAUCUGCCCACCUUGGCCUCCCAAAGUGCUGGGAUUACAGGCGUGAGCCACCGUACCCGGCCUAAAAUGUUUUUUAAAAGACCAUUCUGAACCCAAAUUUCUCUCUUCUCCAAAAGUCCAAGACAGCUGUCUAUCCCUAAUUUUUACAUUAUGCCCAUCACUUGAACUUUUAGAAAAGAAAUGAACGUGUAGAAACUGGUUUUAUUUUGCAGUAAUAUAAGUAUGGUCAUCCCUUGGUAUCUGUGGGGGAUUGGAUCCAGCACCCCCAAAAGAUACCAAAAUCCAUGGAUGCUCAAGUCCCUUACAGAAGAUAAUGUCCUAUUUGCACAUAGCUUACACACAUCUUCAAAUUGUCUCUAGAUUCUGAUACCUAAUCAAUGUAAAUGCUAUGUAAACAGUUGUUACACUGUAUUUUACACAGUUGUUUAGGGAAUAAUGGCAAGAAGAAAGGUCUGUGGCCGGGCGUGGUGGCUCACGCCUGUAAUCCCAGCACCUUGGGAGACC